CACGGAGUUAGCCGAUGCUUUUUCUCCGGGUACUCUCAGUGGCGCCACACGUGGCGCCCGUUGCUCCCCGGCAAAAGAGGUUUACAACCCGUAGGGCCGUCCUCCCUCACGCGACUUGGCUGGUUCAGGCUCGCGCCCAUUGACCAAUAUUCCUCACUGCUGCCUCCCGUAGGAGUCUGGUCCGUGUCUCAGUACCAGUGUGGGGGGCCUUCCUCUCAGAACCCCUACGCAUCGUCGCCUCGGUGGGCCGUUACCCCGCCGACUAGCUAAUGCGCCGCAUGCCCAUCCGUGGCCGGGAUUGCUCCCUUUGGCGGCCUUGGGAUGUCCCUAGGCCGCGUUACGCGGUAUUAGACGGGGUUUCCCCCGCUUAUCCCCCUGCCACGGGCAGGUUGCAUACGUGUUACUCACCCGUGCGCCGGUCGCCGGCAACGGCAGGCAAGCCUGCCGCCCCGCUGCCCCUCGACUUGCAUGUGUUAAGCCUGUCGCUAGCGUUCAUCCUGAGCCAGGAUCAAACUCU
rnacentral:rRNA from 1 species